UGCGUAGGCGGUUUGUUAAGUCUGAUGUGAAAGCCCCGGGCUUAACCUGGGAACUGCAUUUGAUACUGGCAAACUAGAGUGUGGUAGAGGGAAGUGGAAUUCCUCAUGUAGCGGUGAAAUGCGUAGAUAUGAGGAGGAACACCAGUGGCGAAGGCGACUUCCUGGACCAACACUGACGCUCAGGUACGAAAGCGUGGGUAGCAAACAGGAUUAGAUACCCUGGUAGUCC
rnacentral:rRNA from 1 species